AGAGUAAGUGGUGGAUGCCUUGGCUAGUAGAGGCGAUGAAAGACGUGCCAGGCUGCGAUAAGUCUCGGGGAGCCGUCAAGGGGCUUUGAUCCGGGAAUUUCUGAAUGGGGCAACCCAGUUAAGCGCGAGCUUAACUACCUAAUAUGGAGCGAACGAGGGGAAUUGAAACAUCUUAGUACCCUCAGGAAAAGAAAUCAAAAGAGAUUACGCUAGUAGCGGCGAGCGAACGCGUAAGAGGGCAAACCGUUAGUUUACUAACGGGGUUGUAGGACUGCGAUAUAGACUAAACUUAGCUAAUAGAAUAAUCUGGAAAGAUUAAGCACAGAGGGUGAUACUCCCGUAUAUGAAAGCUUUGUUUUACUUAGCAGUAUCCUGAGUAGGGCGGAACACGUGAUAUUCUGUCUGAAGCCGGGUCGACCACGAUCCAACCCUAAAUACUACUACUAGACCGAUAGCGCACAAGUACCGUGAGGGAAAGGUGAAAAGAACUGAGGUGAUCAGAGUGAAAUAGAACCUGAAACCAUUUACUUACAAUCAUUCAGAGCACGAUUCUUUAUGACGUGUGAUGGACUGCCUUUUGCAUAAUGAGCCUGCGAGUUGUGGUGUCUGGCGAGGUUAAGGAAACCCGGAGCCGUAGCGAAAGCGAGUCUUAAUAGGGCGUUUAGUCAGAUGCUGCAGACCCGAAACGAUGUGAUCUAUCCAUGAGCAGGUUGAAGCCGGUGUAAGAGCCGGUGGAGGACCCAACCCGCUGGCGUUGAAAAGCCAUGGGAUGACUUGUGGAUAGGGGUGAAAGGUCAAUCAAACAUCGUGAUAGCUGGUUCUCUCCGAAAUAUAUUUAGGUAUAGCGUCAUGUAGUAACACUGGGGGGUAGAGCACUGAAUGGGCUAGGGCAUACACCAAUGUACCAAACCCUAUCAAACUCCGAAUACCUAGUGUGUAAUCAUGGCAGUCAGGCGGCGAGUGAUAAAAUCCGUCGUCGAGAGGGGAACAACCCAGACUAACAGCUAAGGUCCCUAAAUCUCAUUUAAGUGGAAAACGAUGUGGAGUUACUUAAACAACCAGGAGGUUGGCUUAGAAGCAGCCAUCCUUUAAAGAAAGCGUAAUAGCUCACUGGUCUAGUGAUUCUGCGCGGAAAAUAUAACGGGGCUAAAAUGAGUACCGAAGCUUUAGACUUAGUUUUACUAAGUGGUAGGAGAGCGUUGCAUUCAGCGUCGAAGGUGUACCGGUAAGGAGCGCUGGAGCGAAUGCAAGUGAGCAUGCAGGCAUGAGUAGCGAUAAUUGGGGUGAGAAUCCCCAACGCCGUAAACCCAAGGUUUCCUACGCGAUGCUCGUCAUCGUAGGGUUAGCCGGGUCCUAAGCAAAGUCCGAAAGGGGUAUGCGAUGGAAAAUUGGUUAAUAUUCCAAUGCCAACUAUAAUGUGCGAUGGAAGGACGCUUAGAGUUAAGCAAGCUAGCGGAUGGUAGUGCUAGUCGAAAGGUGUAGGUUAAGAUCCAGGCAAAUCCGGAUCUUUUUAAGCCGAGACCCCACAGGCGUUUGAAGUUCUUCGGAAUGGAUAGCGAAUUGCUGAUACUGUCGAGCCAAGAAAAGUUUCUAAGUUUAGUUAUAGUUGCCCGUACCGUAAACCGACACAGGUGGGUGGGAUGAGUAUUCUAAGGCGCGUGGAAGAACUCUCUUCAAGGAACUCUGCAAAAUAGCACCGUAUCUUCGGUAUAAGGUGUGCCUAACUUUGUGAAGGAUUUACUCCGUAAGCAUUGAAGGUUACAACAAAGAGUCCCUCCCGACUGUUUACCAAAAACACAGCACUCUGCUAACUCGUAAGAGGAUGUAUAGGGUGUGACGCCUGCCCGGUGCUCGAAGGUUAAUUGAUGACGUUAGCUCUGCGAAGCGUUUGAUCGAAGCCCGAGUAAACGGCGGCCGUAACUAUAACGGUCCUAAGGUAGCGAAAUUCCUUGUCGAUUAAAUAUCGACCUGCAUGAAUGGCGUAACGAGAUGGGAGCUGUCUCGAAGAGGGAUCCAGUGAAAUUGUAGUGGAGGUGAAAAUUCCUCCUACCCGCGGCAAGACGGAAAGACCCCGUGGACCUUUACUACAGCUUGACACUGCUAUUGGGAUAAAAAUGUGCAGGAUAGGUGGGAGGCUUUGAUCCAUAGACGCCAGUUUAUGGUGAGCCGUUGUUGAGAUACCACUCUUUUUUAUUCUGAUAGCUAACUAGCUUGAGUUAUCCUCAAGUAGGACAAUGUCUGGUGGGUAGUUUGACUGGGGCGGUCGCCUCCCAAAAUGU
rnacentral:rRNA from 1 species